CAGCAGCCGCGGGAACACGUAGGGCGCAAGCGUUAAUCGGAAUUACCGGGCGUAAAGCGUGCGCAGGCGGUUUUGUAAGUCUGUCGUGAAAUCCCCGGGCUCAACCUGGAAUGGCAAUGGAUACUGGCGAGCUAGAGUGUGUCAGAGGAUGGUGGAAUUCCCGGUGUAGCGGUGAAAUGCGUAGAGAUCGGGAGGAACAUCAGUGGCGAAGGCGGCCAUCUGGGACAACACUGACGCUGAGGCACGAAAGCGUGGGGAGCAAACAGGAUUAGAUACCCCGGUAGUCCCUGUCUCUUAUACA
rnacentral:rRNA from 1 species